rnacentral:rRNA from 1 species
UAAGGAAUAUCGGUCAAUGGACGCAAGUCUGAACCAGCCAUGCCGCGUGAAGGAUGAAGGUCCUCUGGAUUGUAAACUUCUUUUAUCUGGGACGAAAACGGGAUUUUUAUCUCAAUUGACGGUACCAGAGGAAUAAGCACCGGCUAACCCCGUGCCAGCAGCCGCGGUAAUACGGAGGGUGCGAGCGUUAUCCGGAUUUACUGGGUUUAAAGGGUGCGUAGGUGGGCUUAUAAGUCAGUGGUGAAAUCUCCGAGCUUAACUUGGAAACUGCCGUUGAUACUAUAGGUCUUGAAUUAUCUGGAGGUAAGCGGAAUAUGUCAUGUAGCGGUGAAAUGCUUAGAUAUGACAUAGAACACCAAUUGCGAAGGCAGCUUACUACAUAGAAAUUGACGCUGAGGCACGAAAGCGUGGGGAUCAAACA